GCCCUGGGCCAGCUCGGCGGAGCCGCCGCCUCGGCCGCCGAGGAGUUGCUUGACCAGCGCCGAGGCGUUCAGACCCGCCUUCCGGGCCGC
rnacentral:tRNA from 1 species